rnacentral:lncRNA from 1 species
CGAGAACGCCCGGAGAGCAUUCUCCGAGUCGCCGUCUGAUUGGCUCGUGGGAAGCGGGGGCGUGGCCUCGGGCUUUAAUUUGUGGCGCCCGCUCGGAUACUCCCAGGGAUCGAUUGCCGAAGGCCGGGCGGAGCGAGCGCGUGUCCUGCAGUCUUGGGCCGCACCUCCAUCCCCAUGGCUUCGCAAUGCGUGGACCCAAGAGGGCUGGGAGACGACGAGCUCCGCUGCCUCCUCAGAGAGCUAGACGAAGUGAUCGAAGACUUUGAUAACGGCAGCAGCUGUCAGUAUGAGGAACAUCUGGAGGAGCUCAAGCAGAAGAAUGGCCUUGGCGUCUAUGACAGUGGGAUCGAUGAAGCCGAGAGUACCAGCCCAUCUCCAGGGAGCAGCUUAAACACCAGUGAGGAAAACAUUCACAUGCCAGCAACUUCUUCCAUUCCCAAAGCUAAGCUUGGAGACACAAAAGACCUGGAGGAUUACAUUGCUGACCUCGACAAAGAGCUGGAGGGUAAGUCCAUUCGCCAACGUUCUCCUUGCAAUUUGAGAAAAAACGCCAGCUUGAACAUGGGAUGGCUCAGCCCUUGGUUGAUUUGCCAGUGACUUGGAAAGACGAUUUGGGUGUAAAUGCAGAGUCCUGAACCAAAUUCAUUUCAAUCUAACAGCCUUCUGUCCACAUCUCUCCACUCACACCACAACCCCCUCUCACUUGGCCCUGGACCAUUGGCACAACUUCCUUCCUACAUCCAGCCUCUCCCUGCUCUAAUCCAUCUUCUAUAUAGCCACCAAAGGAAUUUCCCUAAAGUGCAGGUCUAACCAUGUCACUCUGUUCAGGAAGCUCAGAGGCAAAGCAGGAUAAAGGCCUGAGGCCUGUGGCCAAGAGGUUAGAGCCCAAAGAAGAACCCUACCUCUCAGCCCCCUUCUGAGGACAGACCAUGAAGGCCCAAGGGCCUAGCGGCUACAGCUGGAGGUUUCCUAUGUGGUGUACCUCAUGUUGGGUCUUGGGCCUUCCCAAUUCUCUCUUGCAGCCGAUCCCCCAUUCAGCUGGAGGAAAAGGGCUAGCAGCCUGUGGUCAGGGCCUUUCCUACUCUUAAAUAAAAGUUGGUUCUGAAACUACA